AUUGAACGCUGGCGGCAGGCCUAACACAUGCAAGUCGAGCGGAGCGGCGGACGGGUGAGUAAUGCCUAGGAAUCUGCCUGGUCGUGGGGGAUAACGUCAGGUACCGGGCGCUAAUACCGCAUCCUAUCAGCUGAGCCUAGGUCGGAUUAGCUUGUUGGUGGGGUAAGGGCUCACCAAGGCGACGAUCCCUAGCUGGUCUGAGAGGAUGACCAGCCAAACUGGAACUGAGACACGGUCCAGACUCCUACGGGAGGCAGCAGUGGGGAAUAUUGCACAAUGGGCGCAAGCCUGAUGCAGCCAUGCCGCGUGUAUGAAGAAGGCCUUCGGGUUGUAAAGUACUUUCAGCGGGGAGGCGUUACCCGCAGAAGAAGCACCGGCUAACUCCGUGCCAGCAGCCGCGGUAAUUC
rnacentral:rRNA from 1 species